CCCCACGCCUUGGUGUUUCCCG
rnacentral:miRNA from 14 species